ensembl:lncRNA
CCUGUGUUACCGUUCCUUGUUCCUUCACCGUGCCGGACGAGUAUAAAGCCAAUCUACAUCCUGGAUGUAUACCAAUAUGGAUACCAGAUAAAAUCAGUACUACUACAACAUUCAAGGGAAAUCUAACAGCGUACAACUGUACUACAACAUUCAAUAACGUACUUGAAGACGAUGUUCAAUAUGAGUUUAGAAUUGACUGUGGAAAGCCAUUAAAAUAUACUUUUUAUGAAAACCCAGUGACCAUCCAGAUCAAGGGUAAGUGCAAUGUGUGUCCGUCUGAAACAAACAUGUAUUACAAGUCCUAUUGGUCUUACUGUGGUUCAGAUGAUGCUGAAUGCUGGUAAUGCUUCGGUCUUCAUAGUAACCGCUCUAAAUUGGUUUGGUACCCAGGGCUCCCUGAUGCACCUCGUUUGACCCCCCCCAAGGAGCCGGUGGUGGAGGGGACUCCUGUGGAGCUGGGGUGCUCUGCCCCGUCCUACUGUGACAUCCACCCCCCCACUGUGACGUGGACCCCCGCCCUGGGGCUCAGCACCCAGCUCCAGCAGAACGAUAACGUGACCUCCACUCUGACCUUCAACGCCGCCCUCCUCCACCAUGGAAACAAUGUCUCCUGCACUGCGGCCUACUACAUACCAUCUGGGAACAAAACUGUGACGUCUACAAGAUACCAACUCAGUAUAUUAUCUCCUCCCAGAAUCCUGUCCUCUUCAAGCUGCAGCAGAAUUGCAGCCUGGGUGCGAUGUUCCUGCUACAGCGUGGGCAGACCAUCACCGUCUCUGGAGUGGAGGUUGGAUGGGGAACUGGUGUUGGGUUCUGAAGAAGUGUCUGUUUGCCAGGUCAACCUGGAGAACGCCACGUUGAGGAGCUCCCUCACAAUGAGGGCCCCUGCUGGUCUGACAGCCUUGACCUGCCACAGCUCCAACGCUGCGGGGAACACCAGCCAGGAGCUUCCUGUUCCCCACCUGGAGACACAGCCAAUCCUGGCAGACUCAGACCAACUGCCCUGGAUAGCUGCUACUGCAGUGCUAGCCGCGGGUCUGCUGUUUGCAACAGUGUGUGCCUUAAGAGCUUGGAAAAUGGCCAACCAAACAAGACUCGGCAACAAUGCUCUAAUCAACCACGCUCAAUCCCACCAAGGGAACACCCAGGUGUGCUUCAAAUGUGGGGAGGACAUCUAUGCUAACAUUGAUAAACUCAUGAACACGGUCGGACCGAGAGAGGAGCCUGUUGGAGCAGGAGAAGAGGCUGCUGGACUGGGAGAAGGGGCUGUUGGACUGGGAGUAGAGGCUGUUGGACUGGGAGAAGGGGCUGUAACAGCAGCAGGUUCCUCAGCCUUGACCCAAAGGGAUGCAGAGGAAGCAGCAGACCCAGCACCAGACAGGCAGGUGGCGGACUGUGAUGUCCUGUACACAACAGUGAACUGGAAGAAGAAGUCCAAGAAAAAAGACAUCUGAGCUCCUGGGGCAGAGACCCUCUGGGGCCCAGGGCCCCUGAGGCCCCUAGACUUCCUCUGGGUGGAUGAGGGAUGAGCUAAGGGCCGGAGGGAUGAGUUAAGGGCUACAUUGAUGGGUAAAGGCUAAAGGGUUGAGUUAAGGGCUACAUUGAUGAGUUAAGGCAAGAGGGAUGAGUUAAGGGCUACAUUGAUGGGUAAAGGCUAGAGGGAUGAGUUAAGGGCUACAUUGAUGGGUAAAGGCUGGAGGGAUGAGUUAAGGGCUACAUUGAUGGGUAAAGGCUAGAGGGAUGAGUUAAGGGCUACAUUGAUGAGUUAAGGGCUAGAGGGAUGAGUAAGGGGCUAGACCAGGGGCCGUAUUCCCAAAGAAUCUUAGGGUUAAUAGUUGCUCACAAGUGGCUGAUUUAGGAGAAACCCCUAAAAAUAAUGAGCGUGUCAGUCUUAAUUUUUGGACUCCUAAUUGAUUUAAAUUAGAGUAAUUCACAAAGUAUUUUAGGCCCAAAAGUAGCACCUCUAGUGUAGGAGGGCUUAAAAGCCCUCGAGAGGAUUCUUAACUCAGUAAGACCUAUUCACAAAGAAUCUGAAAAAAUGCUGCAGCGAGACGAAAGUUUUGGAGACAAUGGAGGACUGCGAAUUGAUAAAUAGAUAUAGAAGUAAGGGUAUCAAACUUGUGGUUGAAUUUGUGAAUAACACCUUGAUAUUUAGCAACAGGGAAAAUGCAACUUUGCAAUGCUGACGAUUUAGGAAUAUCGCUGUUAAGGGAAAUGUAUAAAUAUGUCCUCAGUUGUUUUAUAUAUAUAUAUAUAUAUAUAUAUAUAUAUAUAUAUAUAUAUAUAUAUAUAUAUAUAUAUAUAUAUAUUUAUAUACAUAUUUAUCAUGUUUAUUCUGUACCCAAGUCCACAGAAGGGAUGCAGCAUAAUUAUUGCACCACUAUGGGGCGCUGUCUAAGGACGCAGGCUUGAGUUAUAAUAUAGCGACCCUGGGACAUUUAAAUAGUUUGUGUGUUAUGUUUUGGAUUGUAUUUCGUUGUCCGUUAUGCCAGUUGUUCUGUGUGCAUGUAUUGCAAUGUUCUUCUUGUCAAUCAGUGUGGGGGCGAAUCAUUAGGUCAGCUGGGGGAGGGCCUUGGAAGAACAGGAGGGUGGGGGCUUGCACUUGAGAGAGACCGUGUUGGGGGUUGCCGGGGUAACCGGGGUUUGUUUUGUGCGGGAUUUUCGCUGUUGAUUACGCGUUUCAGUGACCUAGUUUUGUUACAUUAAAAAGUU